ensembl:rRNA 5S_rRNA 5S ribosomal RNA
UUCUAUGUUAAAGUUAAUUUGAUGAACAAGCCCAAUCUCAUUUGAUCUUGAAGCUAAGCAGGGUCAGGUCUGGUUAGUACUUGGAUGGGAGACCAUCUAGGAAGAUCAGGUGCUGGAGGCA